UGAAAAUAUCUUCAAUGACAUGCCAUA
rnacentral:piRNA from 1 species